GCCCCGUAAUCGGAAUGAGUACACUUUAAAUCCUUUAACAAGGAUCCAUUGGAGGGCAAGUCUGGUGCCAGCAGCCGCGGUAAUUCCAGCUCCAAUAGCGUAUAUUAAAGUUGUUGCGGUUAAAAAGCUCGUAGUUGGUUCUGCGUGCCGCGCUGUCGGUUCGCCGCCUGUCGGUGUAACUGGCAUGUUCGCGGCAUGUCCUGUCGGUGGUGAACAGGGUCCUCGAUGCUGCAUUAGGCUUUUAAAGGCCGAUGUUAGCGUCGUGUGUACUUUUGUUGGCCGAUCUCUCCUACUUCGGUGCUCUUAAACGAGUGUCGAGGUAGGCCGACACGUUCACUUUGAACAAAUUAGAGUGCUUAAAGCAGGCUGAAAUAUCUGCCUGAAUAGUGGUGCAUGGAAUGAUAAAACAGGACCUCGGUUCUAUUUUGUUGGUUUUAGGAAUAUGAGGUAAUGAUCAAUGUGGACUGGCGGGGGCAUUCGUAUUGCGACGUUAGAGGUGAAAUUCUUGGAUCGUCGCAAGACGCACUAGAGCGAAAGCAUUUGCCAAGUAUGUCUUAAUUGAUCAAGAACGAAAGUUAGAGGUUCGAAGGCGAUUAGAUACCGCCCUAGUUCUAACCAUAAACGAUGCCAGCCAGCGAUCCGCCGAUGUUCCUUUAAUGACUCGGCGGGGAGCUUCUACCCGGGAAACCAAAGCUUUUGGGUUCCGGGGGAAGUAUGGUUGCAAAGCUGAAACUUAAAGGA
rnacentral:rRNA from 1 species